UUAUGAUUUCGCGCCAUUUUUUGUUUCUGCACUCGCUUUGAACUUUCAUGGCUUUAACAGCAGUUAUCGACUGACGACUUUGCUGUAUUACAUAGUGUACUUGGUACAUAAUUGAUCAACGAUAAUAGGAGGAACCCCUGCAAGCUUUAAAGGGCUCGUGUUACUUUAACAUCACUUUUGAAUUUCACGAAAGCAGAUAAAAGUUUUAGUGACGUUGCAGAAACUCCGGAAUACUGUGGAUUGGGAGGAGGAGAAAGUGAUAAUUCUGUUAUAUGGCCUGUUUCUAGGACACGAUAAACUUCCUAAUAAGUUAACAACUCUACCUCGAUUCGAUGCAGUGCACAGUGGGAAAGGUUGAAGUUGACGUUCAAGCAGUCACCCUGCCGAACAAGAAAUCUUUCAGGCCAAGAGGCUAGGUGACUAGAAACUCAAUCACUAUAUCCGUGAAACUUGUCGGGAGCACUGUUAUUUGUGGAGGUCGGACCGAAACUGUAAUCAGACACUAAACAUUGACGAGGACCAAUUACUCUACUCUUUCAAUGAUUAAUAAAGAUCGCUGAUUGCUUUUACUAAUGUAUAAUGUUAAAAUGAAAGAGAAACUAUCGAGACGAAAGAGAAAAAGGCACUCAUUUAUUUAUAGUUUUAUGUCUUAACAAUGAUAUUCGAAAGCUAAUUUUAAAAACUGGCUCUGAAUCCUUGCUAAAUGAUUUGGGAAGGUGUAAGGGCUUAAUAUGCCUGUAGACAUCAUUUUCAGUGGGUUUUAUGAAGUUUAUGAUUAGAGUAUAUUUUGGGACUGAAAUAAGCGCAAGACCUUCGACGUUUCUAUUCCUACUGUUUUUUUAAUUUAGCAAAUAUACAAACAAAUUUUAUACUGUUGUAAAGAUAAAAUAUUUAGUUAUCGGAUAGAGACUUGAAAAUUAAGUAUUACAAUAACCAAGCUAAAAUAUUCAAUGUUAAACUCAAAAAUUUUCACGCGUCUAUGAAGAAAUAUUUAGUUCUGCGCGUAGUUUUUUGGUCACAUCUACGGCAAAUUUUCGCCAAUUUUGUUCAUAGUUUCAAAAUGUUAUUUAGUAGACAAAUUACUUUCGGACUACA